UACGUAGGGUGCGAGCGUUGUCCGGAAUUAUUGGGCGUAAAGGGCUCGUAGGCGGUCUGUCGCGUCGGGAGUGAAAACUCAGGGCUUAACCCUGAGCCUGCUUCCGAUACGGGCAGACUAGAGGUAUGCAGGGGAGAACGGAAUUCCUGGUGUAGCGGUGAAAUGCGCAGAUAUCAGGAGGAACACCGGUGGCGAAGGCGGUUCUCUGGGCAUUACCUGACGCUGAGGCGCGAAAGCCAGGGGAGCGAACGGG
rnacentral:rRNA from 1 species